AUACGUAGGUGGCAAGCGUUAUCCGGAUUUACUGGGUGUAAAGGGGGCGCAGGCGGGGAGCUAAGUUGGAUGUGAAAUACCGGGGCUCAACUCCGGAGCUGCAUCCAAAACUGGUUUUCUUGCGGGGAGGAGAGGCAAGCGGAAUUCCGAGUGUAGAGGGGAAAAGCGUAGAUAUUCGGAGGAACACCAGUGGCGAAGGCGGCUUGCUGGGCUCUAACUGACGCUGAGGCCCGAAAGCGUGGGGAGCAAACAGGAUUAGAUACCCUGGUAGUCCACGCCGUAAACGAUGAUUACUAGGUGUGGGGGGUCUGACCCCUUCCGUGCCGCAGUUAACGCAAUAAGUAAUCCACCUGGGGAGUACGGCCGCAAGGCUGAAACUCAAAUGAAUUGACGGGG
rnacentral:rRNA from 1 species